rnacentral:ncRNA from 1 species
AAAAAAGCGUUGAGAAGGAAAGUACAUGUUGAAUGCUCCAAAGAGAGGGUCAUCUAGGCUGGGAAUGACCUGAGUUGAUUUAACAUGGAAAUGCACCUUUGAGCGAUGAGCUGAACUUUUUAGUAGGCCAUACGUAUCGUCUGCGUUAAAGACAUUAAGCGGGAAGAGGAAUUUCUUCCAAGCGGAGUGGAACCACGCAACCAAUGCGUCUCUGUC